GUGCUACUUAAGGAUAUAUCUGUACACUAUAAGAAAGCUAAAUUUCUUACUCGUUACCUUAAUUCUUUACUGGAUGCCUGCAUACACAUUCCUGCUGACCAACUGUACAAACGCUCCUCUUCUGGCAGAACUGGGCUUUUACCUGAACGCUCCAGGACACACACAACUGACGUAUUAUAAGGCUUUAUUCAUCAAGUAAAAACAAUGCAAAGCAAUUACAGAAAGAGUGAGAGGCAGUGGUUUGGGGGUCUUGUUACCAGGGCUGAGGGAAUUGCUCCUAUGUGAUGCAUUCACAGCACAGAAAGCACUGCUAUCGAAGAUCCUCAACCCCAAAAGCAAGGGAUUUGCUUUACAGGGUGCCUUGUUAAGCAGGCCCAGAGGAAAAAAAUAUUAUUCCUCAGAUGCAAAACGUCUGUUGUUGUUUUUGUUUUGUUCUGGAACGUUUCACUAGUAAAAAGCAAAUCCUUGAACUCCUGAGCUAGAAACGUAAGACCACCUAGCCUUUUUAGAGUGAAAAAAGGAUCUGGGUAUCAGUCACUGCUAUGCUCCAUCUCACCCUGGCUCCAAAGCUUCAAACUUUGUUUUUUCAGCCUUGUUUAUAGUGUUGUCAAGCUUCUAAGUGGCUAUUUCCCUAUUAACUUUGUCCUUGUUUGUUCUUGCAUUUUUUAAAGAGCUGGAAAUAACGUGUUUACUUUACUGUGUGUCUCUCAGCAUCAUCAAUAUUACUGUUGCUAUUCCAGGAAUUUUAACUGCUGCAGCAAAGCAAAGCCCAGGAUCUCAAGCUUAAAUCAUAUUCCCCUCAACCACAAAAGAAUAAUACUGGAAAUGUAAAAUUGCUGGGAGAAGGGCAAAACCAUCUCCUUUAAUUGCCCAGAGAAGCCUGUUUCUCAUCCGAGCAGUUACUUGCAUGUGUCAGGUAACGUGCUCAGAACAGCUUUGCAUGCACAAUGUUGAAUUUUCACAGGCAGUGGCAUGAGCAACGUGGAGGAAGCAGGAUGUAAACGUUUCCUCUGUCAUUAGAAAAAUGCUUUUACAGGGAUAUAAUAGCUUGAAAUAAAAACAUACCUCUGAUCCAGCCUUUUCACGGGAGUUCAAGACAAUAAUUUUAAAGAUGUGACUUUGCCAGGGAUUUACAGAGGCAAAGAGCAGAGGAAAUGUUAGGGACUCUGAAGAGUUAGUUACUAGGCCAAAUUCUCAAAACACUGCCUCUGACUGCUCUUCCAGUGCUAGCUCUAGUCUAGAUUUUUUUUUUUUUUUUUUUUUUGCAUCAGUGUUAUUUCUCAGCUUUCCUAUUUAAAAAGGGACUGCAUUCAUCUCUUUUCCGAUUGCUUCUUUAAAACUGCAGCAAAGCACAAGCUGCAAAUGGGCUGAGAAAAGCCCACAGCAAAAGCUCUACAGUAAAGCAGAAGUGACUUCACUUGAAUACUUGAAAUAUGAAGCUUACAGUGAAUAAUCUCUAAAUCUUUAUAGCAAGAAAAAUCUGCUCCAGUUGACAACUACUCAGACAACAUUAUGAAGGCAGCACUGUCAUCCUCACCCAGGUAAGUGCCAGGGCUUCAGUUACAGUUGUUUUAUCCUCUGCUUAGAGUUUGCAGUCUUCUCCAGUUGAACAGAGGAUUAAGUACCCACACGGUGAGAAGAGAAGCAUGGCAUUGUGUCUGUAUCAGCAGCAUUUCUUCAGUCAGUUCAACGUGAGCAAGUCCUUGAAGCUAUGCAUACCCUACGUAGUGUCACAGCUUAAAUAAAACCCACCAUCUACUGAAGAACCAACUGGAGAAUUCAGGUGUGAACCAGAAAGUAGGCACACAGAUGAGCCACUGUAUAAUACAAAUUUGAUCCGGACAUCCUAAGUUACUGACCAUGUCGAUCAGAUCCAAAAGGGAACCAGAACUCCAACCAGUGGACCUUUCCCGCAUAUUUGAUGAAGACAUUGAAUCAAGGAAAGGGGAAAACUCAGGGUCACCCAGCUGGUCUGUGGUUCAGCUGGCAACACUGGCCACACAUCUCCCACAUCGGCAUUUCAUACGCCACCCACUCAACAAAGCGUAGAACUGGGAAAAGCUGCAUUUGCUUUUUAUGUUAAGAACUUUCCAUGGGGGAAAGAGAGAGAGUAAAGACAGCUCUUUUAGACAAUAGUGCAUCUCUCACUAGAAGAUAUCCUCAGAAAUUUCCCGUAUCUCAAAGGCAAAGUUAAAUAUGAUUCUAGUUUGUUUUGGCAAAUUGGAAUUGUUUCACUUAUUCAAAGAAUUUCAUUAGCCAAAGGUCAAAGAAAAGAUUGAGUAUAAGGGUGUGGGGGUAGGAGGGAUGCACAUGUGGAGGGGAAAGCAGCAGGAGAUGGAGUAUAAGCAUUUCUUCCUCAAAUCAUGUCUGAUUUCCGUGCAAACUAACUUCCUUAAAACAUCUGUGUUCACUCAAGGUGAUGGUAUGUCUCUGUAUUUUCUUUUGAGGAACUGAAAAGAAAAUCCACAUUUGCACUUGCAAAUGACAAAAGGCUUAAGGAAAAAGAAUCUGUUUCAUGUAGGUUAAACGAGGUAAUUGAUCACACUGUAAAGGAUGCAUCUUGGUAAAACAAUUAGACAUUCAAUUUACUAUAUAAAUUCAGCACUUUACACACAAGCACUUCUACACUACUAAACAGAGUCUAAUGAUUUCAAAACUAUUUCCCCCCAUCCUCCUGAAAGAGAAACUCUUCCUUUCCUACCUACUCAGUUUAACAUCUGAUAGACUAUAUAUAGUCUGAUUUUUUUCCACAGGAAAAUGGAAAGAAAUUAUGGUGAUGGGCACAGCAUAAAACUAAUGGAGACAAUCCCUUAUUUUUUGCUCAGAAGGAGCCUGAUCUAAAUGCAAGGGGCAAAACUAUCAGAUUAUUUGCACCUGAGGUGAUGCAAAUGAUCUCCUGAGUUAAAUUCUCAAAAUAGCAAUCCCAUCUCAGGACAGGACAGCUCUGCUUGUUGACAACUUUCCCUGAAUUACAUAUUAAAUUCAAUAAUCUUUCUCACACAGCCAUAUGCAUGAUCUACAGGGGAUACAGGUCUGUAAGCUAAGAGCACAUUGUGAAAACAAAUGUACCACCUUUCUUACCACGAUUAAUUAAAUGCUUUCCUUCCUUUUCUUGAUCAAUAUAGAGGUCUAAGCCUCUAUAUUGACCUCUAGUCCUGUAGAGGGUUACACCACCGCUUUAGUUUUCGUUUAUGAUUGUUCUUUUGACUUUUUGACUUACAGCCUUCAUCUUUACUGAGAAACCCAUUCUCCCCCCACCCACCCACCCCUUUCCCCCUUUUUGGAAUUGAUUUUGAAGAGAUGCAAAUUUUACUUGAGAACAGUAUGUACUAAAUUUGGCGUUAGCUGUUUAACUUUAUCAGGAAAGGAAAUGUUAAAAUUUCACUAAAAGGUGCUGGGCUUAGCCACUUAUCAGUAGUCAUGGAG